rnacentral:rRNA from 1 species
CCCUUAGACGUUCUGGGCCGCACGCGCGCUACACUGACCAGUGCAACAAGCAUCCGUCCUUGGCCGACAGGCCCGGGCAAUCUUUGAACGCUGGUCGUGAUGGGGAUAGACUUUUGCAAUUUUUGGUCUUCAACGAGGAAUUCCUAGUAAACGCAAGUCAUCAACUUGCAUUGAUUACGUUCCUGCCCUUUGUACACACCGCCCGUCGCACCUACCGAUUGAAUGGUCCGGUGAAGCCUCCGGAUUGGCGCGCACCUCGGUGCCGCCGAGAAGUUGGCUAAACCUUACCAUUUAGAGGAAGGUGAAGUCGUAACA